rnacentral:rRNA from 3 species
GGGUUGUGAGGUUAAGCGACUAAGCGUACACGGUGGAUGCCCUGGCAAUCAGAGGCGAUGAAGGGCGUGCUAAUCUGCGAUAAGCGCCGGUAAGGUGAUAUGAACCGUUAUAACCGGCGAUACCCGAAUGGGGAAACCCAGUGUGAUUCGUCACACUAUCAUUAACUGAAUCCAUAGGUUAAUGAGGCGAACCGGGGGAACUGAAACAUCUAAGUACCCCGAGGAAAAGAAAUCAACCGAGAUUCCCCCAGUAGCGGCGAGCGAACGGGGAGGAGCCCAGAGCCUGAAUCAGCAUGUGUGUUAGUGGAAGCGUCUGGAAAGGCGCGCGAUACAGGGUGACAGCCCCGUACACAAAAGCGCAUGUGCUGUGAGCUCGAUGAGUAGGGCGGGACACGUGGUAUCCUGUCUGAAUAUGGGGGGACCAUCCUCCAAGGCUAAAUACUCCUGACUGACCGAUAGUGAACCAGUACCGUGAGGGAAAGGCGAAAAGAACCCCGGCGAGGGGAGUGAAAAAGAACCUGAAACCGUGUACGUACAAGCAGUGGGAGCACAGGUUUACCUGUGUGACUGCGUACCUUUUGUAUAAUGGGUCAGCGACUUAUAUUCUGUAGCAAGGUUAACCGAAUAGGGGAGCCGGAGGGAAACCGAGUCUUAAUUGGGCGUUAAGUUGCAGGGUAUAGACCCGAAACCCGGUGAUCUAGCCAUGGGCAGGUUGAAGGUUGGGUAACACUAACUGGAGGACCGAACCGACUAAUGUUGAAAAAUUAGCGGAUGACCUGUGGCUGGGGGUGAAAGGCCAAUCAAACCGGGAGAUAGCUGGUUCUCCCCGAAAGCUAUUUAGGUAGCGCCUCGUGAAUUCAUCUCCGGGGGUAGAGCACUGUUUCGGCUAGGGGGCCAUCCCGGCUUACCAACCCGAUGCAAACUGCGAAUACCGGAGAAUGUUAUCACGGGAGACACACGGCGGGUGCUAACGUCCGUCGUGAAGAGGGAAACAACCCAGACCGCCAGCUAAGGUCCCAAAGUCAUGGUUAAGUGGGAAACGAUGUGGGAAGGCCCAGACAGCCAGGAUGUUGGCUUAGAAGCAGCCAUCAUUUAAAGAAAGCGUAAUAGCUCACUGGUCGAGUCGGCCUGCGCGGAAGAUGUAACGGGGCUAAACCAUGCACCGAAGCUGCGGCAGCGAACGUAUCACUUAAAGCGAUUCAGCGGGUUACGAUUGACGGAGCGAAGCGACGUCAAAGCGUAUACAAAGUCGAGUCGGUUUAAGGAUACGUUCGUUGGGUAGGGGAGCGUUCUGUAAGCCUGUGAAGGUGGCCUGUGAGGGUUGCUGGAGGUAUCAGAAGUGCGAAUGCUGACAUAAGUAACGAUAAAGCGGGUGAAAAGCCCGCUCGCCGGAAGACCAAGGGUUCCUGUCCAACGUUAAUCGGGGCAGGGUGAGUCGACCCCUAAGGCGAGGCCGAAAGGCGUAGUCGAUGGGAAACAGGUUAAUAUUCCUGUACUUGGUGUUACUGCGAAGGGGGGACGGAGAAGGCUAUGUUGGCCGGGCGACGGUUGUCCCGGUUUAAGCGUGUAGGCUGGUUUUCCAGGCAAAUCCGGAAAAUCAAGGCUGAGGCGUGAUGACGAGGCACUACGGUGCUGAAGCAACAAAUGCCCUGCUUCCAGGAAAAGCCUCUAAGCAUCAGGUAACAUCAAAUCGUACCCCAAACCGACACAGGUGGUCAGGUAGAGAAUACCAAGGCGCUUGAGAGAACUCGGGUGAAGGAACUAGGCAAAAUGGUGCCGUAACUUCGGGAGAAGGCACGCUGACACGUAGGUGAAGUGAUUUACUCAUGGAGCUGAAGUCAGUCGAAGAUACCAGCUGGCUGCAACUGUUUAUUAAAAACACAGCACUGUGCAAACACGAAAGUGGACGUAUACGGUGUGACGCCUGCCCGGUGCCGGAAGGUUAAUUGAUGGGGUCAGCGCAAGCGAAGCUCCUGAUCGAAGCCCCGGUAAACGGCGGCCGUAACUAUAACGGUCCUAAGGUAGCGAAAUUCCUUGUCGGGUAAGUUCCGACCUGCACGAAUGGCGUAAUGAUGGCCAGGCUGUCUCCACCCGAGACUCAGUGAAAUUGAACUCGCUGUGAAGAUGCAGUGUACCCGCGGCAAGACGGAAAGACCCCGUGAACCUUUACUAUAGCUUGACACUGAACAUUGAGCCUUGAUGUGUAGGAUAGGUGGGAGGCUUUGAAGUGUGGACGCCAGUCUGCAUGGAGCCGACCUUGAAAUACCACCCUUUAAUGUUUGAUGUUCUAACGUGGACCCGUGAUCCGGGUUGCGGACAGUGUCUGGUGGGUAGUUUGACUGGGGCGGUCUCCUCCUAAAGAGUAACGGAGGAGCACGAAGGUUGGCUAAUCCUGGUCGGACAUCAGGAGGUUAGUGCAAUGGCAUAAGCCAGCUUGACUGCGAGCGUGACGGCGCGAGCAGGUGCGAAAGCAGGUCAUAGUGAUCCGGUGGUUCUGAAUGGAAGGGCCAUCGCUCAACGGAUAAAAGGUACUCCGGGGAUAACAGGCUGAUACCGCCCAAGAGUUCAUAUCGACGGCGGUGUUUGGCACCUCGAUGUCGGCUCAUCACAUCCUGGGGCUGAAGUAGGUCCCAAGGGUAUGGCUGUUCGCCAUUUAAAGUGGUACGCGAGCUGGGUUUAGAACGUCGUGAGACAGUUCGGUCCCUAUCUGCCGUGGGCGCUGGAGAACUGAGGGGGGCUGCUCCUAGUACGAGAGGACCGGAGUGGACGCAUCACUGGUGUUCGGGUUGUCAUGCCAAUGGCACUGCCCGGUAGCUAAAUGCGGAAGAGAUAAGUGCUGAAAGCAUCUAAGCACGAAACUUGCCCCGAGAUGAGUUCUCCCUGAGACUUAGAGUCUCCUGAAGGAACGUUGAAGACGACGACGUUGAUAGGCCGGGUGUGUAAGCGCAGCGAUGCGUUGAGCUAACCGGUACUAAUGAACCGUGAGGCUUAACCUUACAACGCCGAAG